CCUCGGGUUAACAUCCUAAAACUUAAUAGUGAUGUUUUAGGAUGGCCACUAACAUCAAUUACGAUCAAACAAGUGAAAGACAGUAACAUCCAUUACGAUCCCCCCUUAGAAUUAUUCGCCAAUAAGGCCUUUUUAUCUAUUUGGUAAAGAUUAGAUCUUGCAUUGAUAACCAAAAGAAAAGGAACUAUCUGUACAGAUUCAAUUACUACUAACACCUUCUAAGGAGUACCAAUAAACUGUUGGAGUGCUAGGUUCCAGUGCCACUUCUUCCUUGUUUGGCUUAUUCUGGUAUAUAUAUAUACAAAACUCC
rnacentral:lncRNA from 1 species